UAGUUUAUGAUAUAGUAGCUACUUGAUGGAAUUAUUUUAGGCAGAAAAACAGUUAUACAGACUGAUAGAAAUAAAUAAAUAAUCAUGCUGAACUUGAAGCCCUCUCGUGAGCGACGGAGAUGGCUAUAUCUCAAUGGUUCAUUUCUAUCCGCUUUAAAACGGACGAUACUCUGAAAUUUUGAAAAUCAUCGAGGCUGAAGAUGACUGGCUCGCCUUUGCCACGGAAUUAGAAUCUUAUCAUGCUCUUAAGUAGGCUUCGAUUUUUCAUUUUCUUUAGUUCUUAAAUGUUUGUAAUAUGCCUUUCGGCAACACAUCUAAGUAUCUAAUAUAAUCUAGGCCUGGGCAAAAUACCCGGAACCGAAUACCCGAACCGAAAAACCCGAACAAUACCCGAACCGAACCCGAACCCGAUUUGUAAAAAUACCCAAAUGGGUCCUAACUUCCUACCCGAAAAAAACCCGAACCGAACCCGAACCGAAUCCAAUACCCGAAUGUACCCGAAU
rnacentral:lncRNA from 1 species